GCCCAGACUCCUACGGGAGGCAGCAGUAGGGAAUCUUCGGCAAUGGGGGGAACCCUGACCGAGCAACGCCGCGUGAGUGAAGAAGGUUUUCGGAUCGUAAAGCUCUGUUGUAAGAGAAGAACGUUAGUAAGAGUGGAAAGUUUACUAAGUGACGGUAUCUUACCAGAAAGGGACGGCUAACUACGUGCCAGCAGCCGCGGUAAUACGUAGGUCCCGAGCGUUGUCCGGAUUUAUUGGGCGUAAAGCGAGCGCAGGCGGUUGUAUAAGUCAGAAGUAAAAGGCAGUGGCUCAACCAUUGUGUGCUUUUGAAACUGUACAACUUGAGUGCAGAAGGGGAGAGUGGAAUUCCAUGUGUAGCGGUGAAAUGCGUAGAUAUAUGGAGGAACACCGGUGGCGAAAGCGGCUCUCUGGU
rnacentral:rRNA from 1 species